rnacentral:lncRNA from 1 species
AGCGCCGGCUCCUCGCCCGCCGCCGCCGCCAGGCUCACAACGUGCUCGGCGCGCAGCUGGCCGGCCGGCCAGCCCAACGCCGCCAGAGCGCUCGCCGCGGGCGGACCCCGGAGCUGCUCCGCUUUGUUCCCGGCUCGCCUCCACUUCCCCGCCGGCGCCGGCCGGCUCCCGAGCGACCCUCACCUGCGAUCACGCCGACUGCCACUUGUCCACCUUCUCCACUACAAAGGCAACGAGGGGAGACCCCGUCCUCCCAGGGGACCGCCUCUCUCCGGCCCCGCCGCGCCCCUGGCUGCCGCUUCUCCCGCUGCCACUGCCCGACUCCGCGCGGGGAAUUGCGUCCCACCGCCACUUCCCCGCCUCUCGGAGCUCCUGGGAAGUUUCUGAUCUACUUUCGGCUCUGAAGGAGGAAGAGCUGUUGGGAGGAGCUUUUCACUCCUCGCUUCUACCUUUUUAUUGGCUACUCGAUGACUUUUACAGCCUGUCACUGAUACAGGAAGAGACAGCGGAGAGCCUGGGAGAACUACAUUAUUAAUUAAUGGAGCAACCCCUCGUGAAGAUUCAGAAGCAUCCUCCAUGUUUGAGAUUAUCAGCCAAAAGAUCUAGGGAAAGCGCUGGGGGUUCAUAAACACAUGGCUAACAAAGUAAAGCCUUCAAGUCUGGCACAGACUCUUGACUACACGAUGGGAAAAGGGAUUCCAAUUACGAUUUAACUUGUAUUUUAAAGAUGAGAAAAGAAAUGAAUAAGAAAAUUUGUUGCUAUUUUUCUUCUUCCAAAUUAGAAUCUAUAUCUCUAAAAAUACUUUGCAUGUUUAGUAAACAUCCAUCUUGAACAGAAGAUACCUUGACAUCAGUUCUAUUUAAUACUUAUGGCAAUUAAGAGAUUUAGAAAGCAGAGGAAAAGACCAAAAAAAAAGUAUGUGUUACAAAGUGUCAUCAUGCUUGUAGGACCCCAGCAUUCUUGAAACUAACGCACCUUUAAAAAGUAAUAUUUACACUGCUGUAAAUAUUUGCAAAGUAUCAAUGUUUAAUUCACUUAGAAUUUUAAGGAUUAUGGAUUUACUAGCGAAAAUUCCCCUAAAGCAACUUUCCCAUAUCAGUAACUUUUAUUUAGGGAAACAAGUUUAAUGUACAUAAUACAUGUGACCUUGGAAUUCAAUAGAAUUUUCGAAACUAGAAGUAACUCAGAACGUUCACUAGAUGUGUUUUAAAGUCUUUUUUGAUACUGUCCUUAACAUUUGCUUAUUUGCAAAUUAAUAUGUAAGAAUGAGUCUAAAAGUAAGUUUUAGGAAUGGUUAUUCGACAAAGAUGUUAUUCCUAUUACCAAUACUGCGAAAUGAUAAUUACAGAAACAAUGUGGGAUCCGUUUUAUAACUUCAAAUUUAAGUUCCUUUGUACUUUGGAGCAGAAAAUGUAAGAAAUCGAAAUCAAGAGUUAGUAUUUUUUAUCUUUCAGGCUGGCUUUAACUGUUCAUACACCUAGCAAAAUAAACAUUUGUGAAAGG